GUUCCGAAUGACUGUCAAAAUGUUUUGAAAAACAAAAUGCUAUUAUUUCGAUGCAUUUCAAGAGUUUUGUUGUGAUAAGAACACUGGAAUAAAGACUGAAAUACUAUCCAACCAUUAGACUCAUGAUCUUGACAUGGAUCCAAGAUGCUGGUAACUAGGCGGGACGGAUUGUUACACAGAACUGCAGGUUUCUGGAUGGAGACUCAGCGCCAUGUCACAAAUACUUCAGAACCUAGAAUGAAAGUUACCGAAAGAGCAAUACUCUGAAUAGACUUUCCAAUCUCUACAAAAUUCAUCUUAACUGUUUUUCAAGGUGAUACUUGAGACUACCAAAGACUUUUCAAGGACAGAAUUCACAAAACAGUUUAUGCCACCAUCUCAUAUCAAAGGAUUGUGCUUGAGUUGAACAGCCUUCAAACAGAAACUGUUUCAAAACCUUCAAUGGAUUCAUUCUGAUUCAGUUUACCCUUGCUGUGAUCUGAGCAACUAUUUACAUCAAUUCAACAUUGUAAAUUGUUUAAACUUGAAAAUUCUGUCUUCAUGCAACUCACAUGAAUCUAUUUACUGUUGACUUUGAUUGAUGUUGACUCUAUACAGGAAGAAGAGACCAUCUUUAUACAUGCUGGCAUAUCUUUUAAAAGGGAAACAAAUAUUAUAACCAACAUACUACACUGUUAUGUCAUCCAAGGACUCAGCUACUGACUCAAUUUAUAUAUACUUCAAAGGAAAAAUGUCUCUGUCAAUGUAAUUACUGCUGUGCAUAAUAAGACAUUUUUUAUUAUGCGCCCCUUGGAAGAAGAGGGGUAUAUUGCUUUGCACAUGUCGGUUGGUCGGUACCGUCUGUAGACCAAAGCUUGUCAGUGAUAACUCAACAAUUCCUGGACGUAUGGUCAUCAAACUUGACAUGAAGGUUGGGCCUGACCAGUAGAUGAUUUUAGGGCUCAUCGAGCCAAAGAUCAAGGUCACAGUGACCUUGAAUGGUAAAAGGUUGUCCAAGGGAUAAAUCAACAAUGCCUGCCUCCAUGGCCCUCAAACUUGACUUGGAGGAUGGGCCUUACCAGUAGAUGACCCCUAUUGAUUUUAGGGGUCAAAGGUCAAGGUCAAAGUGAUCUUGAAAGCAAACUCGACAAUUCCUGGACCAAUCAUGCCAUUCAGUCUGAAUGGUCAUCAAACUUGACAUAAAGGUUGGGCCUGACCAGUAGAUGACCCCUUUUGACUUGGAGGGUCAUCAAGCCAAGGUCAAGGUCACAAUAACCUUUAAUUAAAAAAAGAUAACAAAUCCUCUCUCAGGGAUAUCUCAACAAUGCCUGAACCUAUGAUCAUCAAACUUGACAUGGAAGUUGGUCCUGACAAGGAGAUGACGCUUAUUGAUUUUAAGUCAUUGGGUCAAAGGUCAAGUUCACAGUGACCUUGAAUCAGGGUUCGAAUUUAACUUUUAGAAGCACUCGCAAAAUUUGGCGAGUGCAAUUUGAGGCAACUCGCAAAAUGAAAAAUCAACUUGCAAUUUUAUUAUUUGCUUUAUUCCCUUAUAAUAUUGUCUAAUUAAAGUAGAAAUUAACACCUAAGACAUAUUAUGAAUAUUAAAAAAGUAUCAAUCUUGAGUGACUCGACUACUAGAACUUGUUGAUGGCUUAUUCUA